rnacentral:lncRNA from 10 species
GCUGAGGCCUUUGGACUUAAACUGAGCCACGCUACUGGGUUUUCUGAUUCUCCGGCUUGCAGACAGCCUACGGUGGGACUUCACAGCCUUCAUAAUCAAGGAUUAUCAGCAAAAGAAGCAGAGUACCAGAAUGAUUUUUUGAUUGGAGUUUGGAAAAGACUGAUAAUAAGCUAUCAGCUUUUUCUCCUUCUCGUACACCCAGUCUCCAGACCAGAUGAAGAUUCCCAGGUCUGAAGAAGAAAAGCAGCAUGUAGAUUUCCAUCGGCCUGCUCUGUCUCACUGUUCCUCUGCUCCCACCACCUCAGUCAGUGUGGUAGAGCAGGCUGGGCUGAGGGCAUGCGAGUGGCAAGUCCAUCCCUGAGAUAAGUUUGGGGACCCUGAGCUGAGCGUGUGCUCCUGCCUUUCGAUAGUUAGCAGACUCAUAGCUGUUUCCUGUGCUUUUGUGGUGUGGGAGCCACGGGACAGUAAUCGUCACAAGGGAUGUUAGGACAGAGUGAUGUCUUGGUGUCCUUCAUUGUCCCCAAAGGAAGACAGAAGAGCCGCUAGCCUUCCACAUGCCUCAAAAAUUGGCCAUUUAUGUAACCCAGGUUGGAGAGAACUCACUGACUUCAGGGCGAUUUGGCAUCCUCAGGAAAUGACCAAAAAAAAAGGAGCCAGGGUGGGCCACUCAGCUGGCCUUGCUGAAGCAAAUGAAUGGUCAGCUCAGAAGGGGUUACAGAGGAAGCCGAUCACCCCUGGAGUAGCAGGCCAGCACAAAAUGAGUGGAAGUUGUGCACAGGCAUUCGAUAAACCUCUGGAGCCCAAGCAUCAACUCCGGUGGAGAAGUGUUAAAGAACUGGGUUUUAAAAUUUCAUUGCUUGAGAAAAACACAGAAAUUGACUGUGCUUACCUAGAAGCAACUAUGUGAAAUAUUCUGCAUUAGGCAGAAGGGAGGUUUGAGGCAUACAGAAACAGAACAAGGGGUUUUGGACUGUAUGAUUAUGAAAUUUGUAUUCAUGUCAUACAUCUCCAAACAAAAACAAACCUCACUGGGAAAGAAGAGAAUAAAAUUUCUUGUGAGCUUUCUUCUAGGGACUAUAGGUAGAAGAAGAAACUCUACCUAAUAUUUUCAUAUUGAACUGGCUAACAAGAAUCUCUGAAGACAAAGCUUCUUUGUAUUCUUUGUGUUAUUGAGUGAAUAUACUUAUUAAAGGCUUUUUGGUUCUGGACAACAC